rnacentral:rRNA from 1 species
AUUGAACGCUGGCGGCAGGCCUAACACAUGCAAGUCGAGCGGUAGAGAGAAGCUUGCUUCUCUUGAGAGCGGCGGACGGGUGAGUAAUACCUAGGAAUCUGCCUGAUAGUGGGGGGAUAACGUUCGGAAACGGACGCUAAUACCGCAUACGUCCUACGGGAGAAAGCAGGGGACCUUCGGGCCUUGCGCUAUAAGAUGAGCCUAGGUCGGAUUAGCUAGUUGGUGAGGUAAUGGCUCACCAAGGCUACGAUCCGUAACUGGUCUGAGAGGAUGAUCAGUCACACUGGAACUGAGACACGGUCCAGACUCCUACGGGAGGCAGCAGUGGGGAAUAUUGGACAAUGGGCGAAAGCCUGAUCCAGCCAUGCCGCGUGUGUGAAGAAGGUCUUCGGAUUGUAAAGCACUUUAAGUUGGGAGGAAGGGGCAUUAACCUAAUACGUUAGUAGUCUUGACGUUACCGACAGAAUAAGCACCGGCUAACUCUGUGCCAGC